AGGGCAGCCUAGAAAUGAUAUUUUAAAUUUUAAAAUUAAUCUUUUACAAAGAUAACAGUUGCGAUUUAUAUAAAGCAUUUUGUUUUUCAAAACAGGAACGCUAAUAGAAACGUUAUCAUAUUCUAGGUUUUAUGAACAGUUUACUUCAAAAAGAAGGGUCGUUGUUUUUUUCCACAACUUGUUGGUAUCAUAUAGAUGUUUUUUAAAAUGACUAAAACUAGGAACAUAUUGUUCCAUACGCUAAAAGUUUUUACCAUUUGUGCAACGUGAUAAAUAUGUAUUACAGGGUGAUAUAUUUAAAAUGCCUUAUUUAAUUGAAAAUACCCAUGUGAGAUGUUGCCAAGUAGUGAGAGCACAAGUUAUUGAGGUUUCGUUUCCUAUGUACUAAAGUGUAGUAGAGUUGUAUAAAUCUGAAAAAACAGGAUUUUUAUUUAUUGCGACUAUGGGAGGUAAGCAUGUCAUAAAAAAGUCUGCUGAGCUUUUAUUGUUUUUUCAGAUAGAAUAGUACCAAAUAGUAUUAAAAAUCCUGUUGUGAUACGUCACAACGGAGAGAAAAAAUAUCGUAAGUAAAGAAAAAAGUUAAGGAAAUAGAAAGUUAAAUUUUAUUUUUUUCUUUUUCAGGCACAUAGACGCAUGAGGCAGCGCUUGAAAGAAAUGAUUCGUAUAGAACUGUGUGACGAUUUGCCAACAGGGUCACACUUUCUAUCUCACGAGUCUUUCACCAUAUGGACCGGGGGCAACUACACCCUGAUGUAGAAUUAUCUUACAUUAAGGGUGGUUUAGGUUUUAUUGUGUUUAUUAAAAGGAUAGAAGUCUAAAAUGAGAUUGAUGUUGUAUUCUUUCUCUAGAGAUAAUCAUCCUAUAUUAAAAAUCUGUAGAGUUUACUCAAUCUUGAAGCAACCACAGGGUAAAUGAAACUGUAGACAAUCUUAAAAGAUCCAUUUUGUAUCUAUAAUAUAUAGUACAUCAUAAAAGGAUAACGCUAACUUGUGUAACUUUUGACGUAGCGAUUUGUGGACAUAAACUAUAUAAAAGUAAAUACAUAUGCAUAUAACUAUAAACAUGAUGACUUCGGUAACACGGGUGCUGCACCGAACCCCUUUUAAGAAACAAGGAGUAAGAAAACAAAUACAUUAAACGAGGAGUACACCAAAUAGAUUAUGAAAAUAAGGCAGUGACACAUUUUAGAAACUUGUGGAAAAUGACGAAGGAAUUUUUAGGAGACCCAAAGUUUUAACUUUAGAGCUCAAGUCAAUAACUCAACAUUAGAUGGUCAAAAUGCACAUGAGAUAUCAAAGAAAAAUAAUAGUAAUAAAUAAUAAUCAGUGAGUGUUAUAGAAAAAACCUCAGAUAAUCAUUUAUAAAAUCAAAAGUGCCGUAAACAACUCUUGUGGCUUAUAAAAGCUGCUGAUAUCUUUUAAAGCUUAUUAAAUUAGAAGUGACCAUGUAAGUGUAAUCAACUUUAUAUUAUUGGUAAAAUUAAUGAAUUAUGUUUUUAGGAACGAGUUUGUAGAAAAAUUUAAGAAAUCGGCUACAUACCAGCUGGCACCGGUAGGUACCCGCUGGGUCUUUUGUGCCCCCGACCCCUUUGUGGUAAUUAAAAAUAGAUGUAGGUCGUUUUAUAAUAUUUUUAAACCGAAAAUUUAACAUAUUUUUUGCAGGGUGUCUGGUUCGACAUAACGCGUAAGUAAACAAGAGGUUUUAAAAUAAAAUUAGUAUGUUAAAAACGUACCUUUUUUACAGCGAGCCAACGGAAUUGUAAGUACUCAAAAUGUAAAACCGAUCCAAAAAUCAUCGAUUUUCUUUUUUUCUAGUGUAUCAACGGCAUCAGGACUUUUGGUCCUAAAUGACCCGUGAGUUUCUAAUCUUCAAUUUUAUAUUAAAACAGAAAUAAUUAUUUCAUAUUCUUUUUUCAGAGAUCUGAUGAGAACUUCGCCGGUUGUAAGUAUUUAAUAUAUAAAACUUUAUGAAAUUUUAUAUUUUGUAUGUACUAAUCUGUAGUAACAUUUUUUCAGAUGGAAACAUAAAAAUAAAAAAUAGAGUUUUUCUUGUUUUUAAUUACCCUCGCCCAGUACUUAACCAAAGUCCUUUAUUCCCCCAUUAUCCUGAGGGUGAAGUAGUCAAGUUUUAUAGAAAUUUGAUGAAAGUGUCUACCUCCCCGCUUGGUCACCCUUGGACAACUUUUUAUGUUGACUAACAGACACAACUUACCAAAUAUUAUUCAUAAAUUAACAUAAAUGAAUUAAAUGUAAGCUUUUAACGGUCUAUUUUAUUCUAAAAUAAUUUUAAAAGACUACAGUUUCAACUGCUAAAAAUAAGUAGUGGUGUUUAUUUUGAAAAGUGUUCAUAAAAUGUAAAAUUGUAUUAAAUAUAAUUAUUUGUAGCGAUGAUAUGUUGAAGUUGUUGGGAGAGCCGGUCCUCUACGAGUAAGUUAUUAAUACACAAAUAUUUAUAUCAUUACAUUUAAAUUCUGAUAUAGAAUAUACGAGAUAUCCGACCUGAAAUGAUAAUACGUUUUAAAAAAAGAAUAAAAACAGAAUAAUCAUUUUUUAGCUGUGAAGUUCUGACUAGCGCGUCAGAAGACGAAAAUUAUUAGAGGAAAUGCAUUUCAUUUCUAAACAGUGUAUAUUCUUCCUCUAUUAUUUUAAUAACACAAUAAUAGCCACUUUCAUCCAAUCAACCCAGUUAUCCCUCUAACAUUAGAAAAUUGAAAGAAAAAAGCCCUAGAAAAAAUAUGUCAAGUUUGUAAAAAUGUUUUAUUUUAAAAACACUAUAAGUAUUUUCGAAAAAUUAAACUGAAACAAAAAAAUGAACAACCAACUUAGCUAUCCCCUCUAACAUUAGAAAAUUGAGAAAUCAUAAUAGAAAAGAAAAAAUCCCUAGAAAAUUAUGUCAAAAUUUGUAAAUUUUUUAUUUUAAAAAGCGCUAUAAUUAUUUCGAAAAACUGAAACAAAAAAUGAGCAAGGCAUGAAUUGUUUUUUCUAAAACUAUUUUAUAUUCCGUUGAAAAAUAAGGUUAACAUUGACAGAUAGUUACCAGAAGCAUGAGUGAAAACUAUUAAAAAGUAUAUGUUACAAAUACCCGCUUAUUUUCCACAAUAAGGUAUGUUAUUCCUCUCUAGGGAGCGGUGGUACAUAUGUCUCCUCAUCCCUUGGAAUGGAGUAUUCUCGCUCUACACUUUCCCGUAUCUUUACCACCCCCGACAGAAGAAAGACACCACCUGCUCACUGGUUUCUAUUGCUAAGAUUAAAUACUGCAAGUCAGGUACGUGUCAGAUACAUGUCAGGUAUGUGUCAGAUAUACGUCAGGUGUACGUCAGUCAGGUACGACAGCUUACACGUCACAGCUUUGGCAGAAGCGACAGCUUACGUGGUACAGCGUUGCUAGAAGCGACAGCGUCGUUAGAUGGGUCAGCUUACGUGUCACAGCGUCGUUAGAUGGGUCAGCUUACGUGUCACAGCGUCGUCAGAUGGGUCAGCUUACACGUUACAGUGUCGUCAGAUGGGUCAAAUAACGUUGACAGCUAUGACAGAUAACGUUGACAGGUGUCACAUCGUCGUCAGAUGCGUCAGCUUACGCGUCGUCAGGUACGUAUCAGGUACGUGUUAGGUACGUGUCAGGUACGUGUCAGAUACGCGUCAGGUACGUGUCAGAUACGCGUCAGGUAUGUGUCAGAUAUACGUCAGGUGUACGUCAGUCAGGUACGUGUCAGUGGAAAGGCAGAUAUCAAUGCUGUAAAUAGAACUUCACUCGCAUAUAAUGUUCAUUUAAUAUCAGGAUGUCAGAUAAGCAACAGGUGCCAAAGCUUGCUAAAGCUGUUCGAGAAAAGUAUAAUUUACUUAAAAGGUCUGAACGUGGCCAUGAAGAACAGCUUCAACGUAUAUUUAAACCUGUGACAGAACCACUUGAAACUAUAUUAUCAAAUCAAGACGGACAUAUACAACACGUAACAGAACAACCAAAUCACGAUUUACAGGAUAUAGAGCAGCCACCAUCAAAUCAAUACAGUGUUACAUGCAACGACAAUGAUUCGAUAUAUGGACCUGUGCUUCAAAAUAGAGAAUUCAAUGACGAAAAUAUAAUUGUAGACAACAAAAUAUUUAAAAAUACACCCGGCUUACAACAGCUAGUGUUUUGCAGAACCCCGCGAGCUUUUACCAUCACCGAUUUGCAACUAUAUAGGCAAAUAUUGGAACUGUCGGGGUACAUAGAGAUUCAAGAGGGUUUUUAAAACAUCAACAACGAUCAACUAAAUUUGAUGAGAUUAUUAAGCCUCUAUGUAAGAACAAUUGCCGUAGAAAAGUGAGGAAAUAUCCAAGACAAACUACGUGGCUCCAAGGUUGGACAGACCCGAACGUACUUGUUGAUCGUCUAAAACAGCUCAACAGAGAAGAUGACGAAUUCCAUCAAAUAAUUCACGAACUUAAGACAGCAGGUAUCAUCGAAUAAAAAUAAGUUGAAUUCCGUUCUACAGCGAAGAUGCCAAAUGGACCAAAUAAUCUCGUAAACACACUUAAAUAUCUAAACAAA